rnacentral:rRNA from 1 species
GAUGAACGCUGGCGGCGUGCUUAACACAUGCAAGUCGAACGAGAAGUGAAGACGGAAACCUUCGGGCGGAAGGCUUUAUUUCGAGUGGCGGACGGGUGAGUAACGCGUGGGUAACCUGCCUCAUACAGGGGGAUAACAGUUGGAAACGACUGUUAAUACCGCAUAAGACCACAGCACCGCAUGGUGCGGGGGUAAAAACUCCGGUGGUAUGAGAUGGACCCGCGUUCGAUUAGCCAGUUGGCGGGGUAACGGCCCACCAAGCGACGAUCGAUAGCCGAUCUGAGAGGAUGACCGGCCACAUUGGGACUGAGACACGGCCCAAACUCCUACGGGAGGCAGCAGUGGGGAAUAUUGCACAAUGGGGGAAACCCUGAUGCAGCGACGCCGCGUGAGUGAAGAAGUAUUUCGGUAUGUAAAGCUCUAUCAGCAGGGAAGAAAAUGACGGUACCUGAGUAAGAAGCCCCGGCUAACUACGUG